GAGUUUGAUCAUGGCUCAGGACGAACGCUGGCGGCGUGCUUAACACAUGCAAGUUGAGCGGAAAGGCCUCUUCGGGGGUACUCGAGCGGCGAACGGGUGAGUAACACGUGAGUAAUCUGCCCUCUACUUCGGGAUAGCCCUGGGAAACUGGGAUUAAUACCGGAUAUGACCACCGACGGCAUCAUCGGUGGUGGAAAGCUCCGGCGGCUGAGGAUGGGCCCGCGGCCUAUCAGCUUGUUGGUGGGGUCACGGCCCACCAAGGCGACGACGGGUAGCCGGCCUGAGAGGGCGACCGGCCACACUGGGACUGAGACACGGCCCAGACUCCUACGGGAGGCAGCAGUGGGGAAUAUUGAUCGC
rnacentral:rRNA from 1 species